rnacentral:rRNA from 1 species
ACGAACGCUGGCGGCGUGCCUCAUACAUGCAAGUCGAACGAGAGCGACCGGUGCUUGCACUGGUCAAUCUAGUGGCGAACGGGUGAGUAACACGUGGGUAACCUGCCCAUCAGAGGGGGAUAACAUCCGGAAACGGAUGCUAAAACCGCAUAGGUCUUCGAACCGCAUGGUUUGAAGAGGAAAAGAGGCGCAAGCUUCUGCUGAUGGAUGGACCCGCAGUGCAUUAGCUAGUUGGUGAGGUAACGGCUCACCAAGGCCGUGAUGCAUAGCCGACCUGAGAGGGUGAUCGGCCACAUUGGGACUGAGACACGGCCCAAACUCCUACGGGAGGCAGCAGUAGGGAAUCUUCCGCAAUGGACGCAAGUCUGACGGAGCAACGCCGCGUGAGUGAAGAAGGUUUUCGGAUCGUAAAACUCUGUUGUUAGAGAAGAACAAGUGCUAGAGUAACUGUUAGCGCCUUGACGGUAUCUAACCAGAAAGCCACGGCUAACUACGUG